UUGUAGCCGACACCCCAUCUAAAUUCCCUUCCAAACUCCUCUGCCUUCAUCUCUUUGAAGAAAACCUUAUCCAUCUUAUCAUUUCUUUUGUCUGCAACUAGGAAGAUCCCUCAACAUACACAAAACCCAUCUUAAUUAUAUCUACAAAUUCAUAACCACACCCACAACAAGAACCUGCAACCUCUGUUCUUUCACUGGCGGUUAAUCAGAAGCCGAGACCCCCCCCCCCCUCCGAUCUUCGUUCUUCCGGUCACACACACAAACACCUCACUCUCGCUCAUCUCUCUCUCUCUCUCUCUCGGUUACGCGGACGACCGACCACCACGAUUUUGGUGGCGGCGCAUGACAAACGACAGCAGCAGCGAAGGUGCCGUCUCCGACGACGCCAAGAACAACGUCGGUGGGGGAGUUGUUCCUCACAAUAGACUGGGUCCGAGGUUUUCUCCGGUAAGUUUGUAAAUCAUCAUUUUUUCAUUCAGAAUCUAUGUUUCUCCAGCAAGUAUUCGGUGUUUCAGGCAUUACGAAGAUGAUGAUGGCAGCGGCGGUCAGUUGGGGUGAUGGUUAUUCUAGAGUCGGGUUAUAAUAAUUCCAGCUUCGGUUCAGGUUUUACCAUGGCCCCGAGUGUCAUUAUGACUAAGAGUUACUUCUAUCUCAGAUCUGAUAUUCGGGUUCAGGAUUUAGCGGGUCAACAGUGGACAAAUAGUCAACAUCAGUACGGUUCAGGUUCACAAGUUUAGGAUUCGGGUUUGUUGCACGGUCAGUUCGACUCAACAGUUAACCAUGGUCAGAAUCGGGGUUUCGGGUCAAACCCGGUUGACUCGGUCAACACCAGAGUCAACUUGGGUCAACAUACGGUCAAUCGGGGUCGAAACCAGACCCGGAAUGUCGUAGUUGCACGCUAGCUAAUACACGUUCAUGGAACAACACUAUGGAAAUCACGCUAGGCUAGCUUUGCACAAGAAUGUCAAGGUUGCAUUUUCAAAACUAUGGAACGGUUGGAAUAGGAGAACCAAUGGGAAUUCGAG